rnacentral:rRNA from 1 species
UACGUAGGGGGCAAGCGUUGUCCGGAAUUAUUGGGCGUAAAGAGCGUGUAGGCGGCCAGAUAAGUCCGCUGUGAAAUCUCGAGGCUCAACUUCGAGCUGUCGGUGGAAACUAUCUGGCUAGAGUCCGGAAGAGGAGAAUGGAAUUCCUGGUGUAGCGGCGAAAUGCGCAGAUAUCAGGAAGAACACCCGUGGCGAAGGCGGUUCUCUGGGACGGUACUGACGCUGAGACGCGAAAGCGUGGGGAGCGAACAGG